rnacentral:rRNA from 1 species
AGUCUGCAACUCGACUACAUGAAGCUGGAAUCGCUAGUAAUCGCGAAUCAGCAUGUCGCGGUGAAUACGUUCCCGGGUCUUGUACACACCGCCGUCACACCAUGGGAGUUGGUAACGCCCGAAGCCAGUGACCCAACCGGAAACGGAGGGAGCUGUCGAAGGUGGGACCGAUAACUGGGGUGAAGUCGUAACAAGGUACC